rnacentral:lncRNA from 1 species
AAAAAGAUUUAAAAUUUGAAAACUUUCUUCUUAUCCUAAACUACCCAACCACCCCCUAAUUUCUCUCAACCUCCCUCAACUUCCCAACCCCCCUACACACUAUAAGAAACACGGACACAAACAACAACAAAAAAAGGGGAGACACAUACCCAAAACUUAAAACAAAAAAGUUCAGAGAAACCAAAAAGGAAAAACCAUGCACAGCAAAUAAGAAAAGAGUGAGCCACAAAGAGAAAACAAAAGAAAAGACAGAAAUGGGUGACAACCAGAAAAAGAGUAAAAAUGGAAGAAAAAGAAUGGAAAAAGUGGAGGUCGGGUAUCUGGUUGAGUUUUCGGUCAUGGUGUGAUUGCUUCUUUAUU